GGUGGUGGUGGAUGGCCCAGUGGCGGUGGUGGAUGGAGCAGCGGCGGUGGUGGUGGUGGCUGGUGGUAAAAGACACCGAACGAUUCCUCGGAUAAUUAGAAGGGAAUUUGCUCACCGAUCACCAGUGCACAUCUUGGCUGUAAUUACCGAUUGUCGGUUCACGAAGAGACCCUGACCCCCUGGUACCAUCUUCGACAGAGAUCAUCCUCAAAGAAUAGAACAGAACAGAAGUGAAGAACGUGACAGAUAACAUCGUCAACGAGGACCAAUGGAAAGAAGAAACGGAAGAACAAUGAAAUCUACAACACCGAUUUCCGAGAUUCUUCUUCUUCUUUCGUCAAAUCGACACGAAGCACCGGAUGGGUCGUGGGUUACUCUUCGACGAAAGUAUUUAGAAAAUAAUAUCGUAGAUUGUAAUUUUUUCACACCGUGUAUACGAUAAAUUCAAUUUCACGUAACAACGCGAAUAAAAUGAUAAAAAGUCUCCCCAAAAAAAUGCAAAUAUUGUAAAAAGAGGAACGAUCGCGUUGGGUAGGAUAUUUUUUGUACUACUUUUCGUAUAAAGCAUUUUCGAACAACGAGCAACAAUUAAAACUCAUUCACACACAAAA